GGUGAAAAGCACCCCGGAAGGGGAGUGAAAUAGAACCUGAAACCGUGUGCUUACAAGUAGUCAGAGCCCGUUAAUGGGUGAUGGCGUGCCUUUUGUAGAAUGAACCGGCGAGUUACGAUUUGAUGCAAGGUUAAGCAGUAAAUGUGGAGCCGUAGCGAAAGCGAGUCUGAAUAGGGCGUUUAGUAUUUGGUCGUAGACCCGAAACCAGGUGAUCUACCCUUGGUCAGGUUGAAGUUCAGGUAACACUGAAUGGAGGACCGAACCGACUUACGUUGAAAAGUGAGCGGAUGAACUGAGGGUAGCGGAGAAAUUCCAAUCGAACCUGGAGAUAGCUGGUUCUCUCCGAAAUAGCUUUAGGGCUAGCCUCAAGUGAUGAUUAUUGGAGGUAGAGCACUGUUUGGACGAGGGGCCCCUCUCGGGUUACCGAAUUCAGACAAACUCCGAAUGCCAAUUAAUUUAACUUGGGAGUCAGAACAUGGGUGAUAAGGUCCGUGUUCGAAAGGGAAACAGCCCAGACCACCAGCUAAGGUCCCAAAAUAUAUGUUAAGUGGAAAAGGAUGUGGCGUUGCCCAGACAACUAGGAUGUUGGCUUAGAAGCAGCCAUCAUUUAAAGAGUGCGUAAUAGCUCACUAGUCGAGUGACACUGCGCCGAAAAUGUACCGGGGCUAAACAUAUUACCGAAGCUGUGGAUUGUCCUUUGGACAAUGGUAGGAGAGCGUUCUAAGGGCGUUGAAGCAUGAUCGUAAGGACAUGUGGAGCGCUUAGAAGUGAGAAUGCCGGUGUGAGUAGCGAAAGACGGGUGAGAAUCCCGUCCACCGAUUGACUAAGGUUUCCAGAGGAAGGCUCGUCCGCUCUGGGUUAGUCGGGUCCUAAGCUGAGGCCGACAGGCGUAGGCGAUGGAUAACAGGUUGAU
rnacentral:rRNA from 1 species